rnacentral:rRNA from 1 species
AUACGUAGGGGGCAAGCGUUGUCCGGAAUUAUUGGGCGUAAAGGGUACGCAGGCGGCCUUUUAAGUCAGAUGUGAAAUCUUACGGCUCAACCGUAAUAAGCAUUUGAAACUGAAAGGCUUGAGUUAAGGAGAGGAAAGUGGAAUUCCUAGUGUAGCGGUGAAAUGCGUAGAUAUUAGGAGGAAUACCAGUGGCGAAGGCGACUUUCUGGACUUAUACUGACGCUGAGGUACGAAAGCGUGGGGAGCGAACAGGAUUAGAUACCCUGGUAGUCCACGCCGUAAACGAUGAGUGCUAGGUGUCGGGGGUCAAACCUCGGUGCCGGAGCUAACGCAUUAAGCACUCCGCCUGGGGAGUACGUACGCAAGUAUGAA